CGCCCUCUUCCAUACAAAUCGGGAAAGUCAGUCGCGUCAGGUUUUCCUGUUCUUUCUGUAUAUUCUGAAAAUUCCCAUCUUUCGGUAAUAUCUAAUCAUUCUUCCGCUAUAUUACGUGCGUGAUAUUGAUUGCGAGCGUUGACAAUAUGAAAUUCAGUGAAAACAAAAUUUAAUUCUGAAAUAGGGAGUCGAGACUAAAAAUAGAUCAUUGCUCGAUACGUAGGGUAAUUUAGUGAGAGCUUUCCAUUCAUAAAUUACAUUCAUUUCGCGUUCGGCAUUGAGGUAAAACACUUCUCAGAUCUCGUGUUGUCGGUGAUCGGAUAUAGGCAAUUUUGACAGCGGCUAAUUGACAAGGGCCGCAACCCGGUUCAGUACGUGACAAGUUUCAGGAACUAGGAACAGCAAUGGCGACGGAGGGUGGCUUGGCGCCGGGCGGUGAUGACAUGCCCGUGGGCGGACCAAAGACGCCCCAGCAGAUUGCCGCCCAACGUCGCUUGCAACAAACCCAAGCUCAAGUCGAUGAGGUCGUUGAUAUAAUGAAAACAAACGUGGAAAAAGUUCUGGAGCGCGAUCAAAAGCUCUCCGAACUUGACGACAGAGCAGAUGCACUACAACAAGGCGCUUCACAAUUUGAACAGCAAGCCGGCAAGCUUAAGAGCAAAUUCUGGCUGCAGAACUUAAAGAUGAUGAUCAUCGCAGCCGUGAUUGGAAUCAUCAUUCUGGCUCUAAUCAUUGCCAACUUUGUGUGAACACAUUUCGGUAACCGCAGUAUAUUAUAGAAGUUAUUGUUAUAAUGUUAAUACCUAGUAUAUAACGUAUGUUGUUUUUAAUCGUUACGUUAUUGGUAUUAAGCCUUUGUUGGUCUGUAAACAUCUUGUGUGAAGGAUUUCAUGUAUGAUGGCACGAAUGUUGACUUCAUCAUCAAGACCUUUAUAUAGUAUAGUUUCCUUAUAACUUAUCACUAUAAUUAUAAUAUCGAUGUAUAUUUUAUCAGUAUAUUAAAUACCUCCGUAUAUAGUAUUUAAACAUAUUUACAAAUGUAUUAUUGGUAUUUCGAAAAUCACGCGUCUUAGACACAUUUCGUUUACCUAAAUCACAUUUAAAACACUGAUAAUAUAGUGUAUUUUUAGAUGAUCUUUUUUUGUUAAGAAAAAGAUACUUACCUAUUUUCUACCUUUUAGAUAAGAAUUUAUUGAAAAUAUCCUUCCUAUCAGAAUCCUAUCAGAAUUUUUUUUUAAUUAUAUGAAACAUUCAACACUCUUUGGUUUAUACAACAAUACUUUUUCUAGCCUUACUAUUUUUAAAUGUAUUUAUUUUUAUUUCUUGAAUAAUUUAAUUGUUUAAUGCAGGUCGUUGCGUGGUUGAAAAGUGUGUUGAGGCUUUUUGAAAUAAAUACUUUAACUUUAUACUAUUUCUGCUUGAAGUAAGUUUUAGCUUUUACAGUUCUUUCAACUGUGUUGCUUCCUCUAGUUAAAAGUGUUCUAAAACUUUUUGAAUGAUAUUACUUUGAAUAUUUUUCAUUUUUAUACAACAUUACUGUAACCAGUUUAAAAUUCAAUUAACGUAAGUUCCAUUUCGAACCAUUUUUGAUAUAAGGAUUUAUUUUUAUUAUUUCAAGUAUCCUGUUUGAGUUUGAAAUACAGUGGCUUAAUAUUGUUUAUUCCAGUAACUUAGAUUUAAUCUAGCUUAAGUACUUUAGACUUCUACAUUGUGUUUUAAAAUUAUAUAAUGCGUUUUAAAAGUAUAUAAUCGUUUGCAUUUACAUUAAUCUAAAAAUAUUCGAAAUUAUUACAAGUAUUCAAAUUAAAUAAAAAGCUUCGUAGUCAGUUAGAAACUAUAAACAUUCAUAUUUAGGCGUUUGAAAACAAUUUAGAUUAAUUAUUAAUCACGUAUAUCGAUGUGAUUGUGUUAAUAGUUCGGAUUUUGUCAGUAUCGUAUGCAAUAUAUCGUUAAAAGUAUUUAAAUUGAUUUGAUCAAGUAAAAUAUAUUUAGAUAUUUGUGUAUAGGCCGUAUGAUACUGGAUUUUAAAAAAUAUGCCAUAAAAUUUAAGGCUGAGCCGCGUUGAGCAGAAUGUGCUUUUUCCUUGGAAAAAAGCACUCUGUUCCGUUCUUUCAUUUUUUGGCAUAGUUUUUAUAUUCCGUAUAUAAAGAUUAUGGUUCUUUGUGCUUUUACAUAAGCACUUCGUUGUUAAAAUCUUAGGAAGGUGUUUGUAAAUAAUCGUAGCAAAGAACUUCAAUUUUGAAAUGUGUUCUUUGGGUACCGAUGUCAUUGACACUUUAUGGUAAAUAGCCAAAGUUACUGUAUAACCAAUGCUACUCAUAUCAAAUAUAAUUAAUCCAUUCUUUGUAACAUUUAUGAAUAAAUUUUGAGAACGAAACGGACACAUUUCAAAAUUUGAGGUUUUAUUUCACUGUAAGGUAAAAAACAAAUACACCAGUCUUUAAUAUAGGAUUAGUGUUAUUAACGUAACUUAUUAUAGAAUGACAGUAAUCUUCACUUCUCACUGAUGUGGCUUUAUUUAGCACCUAAUUAUAUUAUGUGUUUGAUUUUGUUACCUUUACAUUUCAACAUAAUCUCAAACAUGUAAAGCUGACACAAAUAAACCGUUCGUAUCAAAUCGGAACGCAUUUCAACCAUCAUAUAGUACUCCAAAGAAAACAGCCAUACCAAACACCAAAUAAAAAUGACAAACAAUAUAUUGUAUGAAAUAUUUUAACGAUAUAUCUAAUAAUACCAACCAAGAAACUCGAUUACAGCAUUAGGAACAACGGGCGAAAGUCCCAGAUCAAAAUUCCACAGCAAUUCAUAUAAGCAAAUGACUUAAUAUUCCGGUGUCUAGAAAUGAAAGUUUUAUAGCAUAAAUAAUUAGGUUUUUUGUUUUGCAUUAUUGCCGCGCAUAUAAUCUAUUAAAAGCGUAUGUAGCUAAAUCAGCGUGUGUUUUAGAUUUGCAUUUGAUUUAGGCUGUAGUUAUUUAAGUAUAUUUAUUAUAGCUAGUUAUUUAAGGCUGUUUCACGCAUCAUAUAACCAAGCCUAACAAGUUAAACGACAAGAUCGCGUACAGCCUAAUAUUGAAUAUCUAUACUUGUUAUGUAUUUUGUUUUAUGAUGCCUGGAAUAAACUUACUUACAAACGAAAAAUGUCCGAAGUUGCGAAUUUUAGCUUAGCAUAGACACAUUGCGAUAAGGUGUGUCGUAAAUAUCUAGUUUUAAACAGCAUUUUAGUAGGUAAUAAUGUAUGUAUUAAAUGUUUAUAAAGGUCUGUAAAGGAAAUUUAAAAAUAAAACAUUUUCAAAUCCCAUAGCUGUUAACUACAUUAUCGCUGAAACACCGAGAUAUCCGAGUAACAGUAUUCUUCGUUCAAAAUGUUUGUAGUUUAUAAAAUGUUCUUAAUGUUAAACUUGUGAAACUUAUAUCGAUUAGAAUUAAGUAAUGAUAUCACUGUAAUCACAUCAUGAAAUAAAAGUUUAAUUAAAGGUUUUACUAAAAUAUUGAAUGUACCAAAUUAUUGUAUUACUGCUUCACUGAAAUAAAGCAAAUUUAAUAACAAUAAAAA